rnacentral:rRNA from 1 species
AUUGAACGCUGGCGGCAGGCCUAACACAUGCAAGUCGAACGCGUGGCGGACGGGUGAGUAAUGUCUGGGAAACUGCCUGAUGGAGGGGGAUAACUACUGGAAACGGUAGCUAAUACAGCAUACCAUCCUAUGUACCCAGAUGGGAUUAGCUAGUUGGUGGGGUAAAGGCUCACCAAGGCGACGAUCCCUAGCUGGUCUGAGCGGAUGAUCAGCCACACUGGAUCUGAGACACGUUCCAGACUCCUACGGGAGGCAGCAGUUGGGAAUAUUGCACAAUGGGCGCAAUCCGGAUGCAGCCAUGCCGCGUGUAUGAAGAAGGCCUUCGGGUUGUAAAGUACUUUCAGCGGGGAGGCGUUACCCGCAGAAGAAGCACCGGCUAACUCCGUGCCAGCAGCCGCGGUAAUUC